rnacentral:misc_RNA from 1 species
AACGCACAUUGCGCUCUCUGGUAUUCCGGAGAGCAUGCUUGUUUGAGUAUCAGUAAACACCUCAACUCUUUUUUUCUCUCUGGAGGGGAAAGAGUUGGACUUGAGCUAUCCCAACAGAACUCGUUUCUGGCGGGCGGCUUGAAAUGCAGGUGCAGCUGGACUUUCUUCUGAGCUAUAAGCAUAUUUAUUUAAUCCCUUAAAACGGAUUAUUACUUUUUGCUGCAGCUAAUAUAAAGGUUGAUUGUUCUCUAUGCUGACUGAUGCAGGAAUUUGGCAAAAUAUCGUCUAGGCGAUUUUUUGUUAAACUCGAUCUCAAAUCAAGUAAGACUACCCGCUGAACUUAA